rnacentral:rRNA from 1 species
CAUUAAAGAAUUGUCUUCGGGGUGUGGGAGCUGGCUACCAAAUCUAUUUUUCUGGUAUGCAUUUGUGCUCGCCUCGACAGUUUAUUCCCUAACACCUAUGUGCACGUAUUUGGGGGAGAGGAUUUUAUAGGUGAUCAACCCUAGUCUUUUUCCUAAGAGAAAGGCGAAGGUUCAUCUUGCCCUCUCCUUCRAUAUUUUACAUAUUAUACGCUAAUCAAAAAUAUAUUGGACGAGAUAUUGCGCCGCANGGCCUUANUAUAUAACACCUUUUAACANCGGAUCUCUNGGNUCUCNCAUCNAUGAAAANCGCAGCGAAAUGCGAUACGUAUGGUGAAUUGCAGAAUUCAGUGAAUCAUCGAAUUUUUGAACGCACCUUGCGCUCCCUGGUAUUCCGAGGAGUACGCCUGUUCGAGUGUUGUGAAAAAUUUCAAGAUAAAGGUGAACCGUCAUCCUUAGUCUUGGUUUUAUUGGGNUUUGCUAUCCCCUUUUAUUUUAAGGGGGGGGAUGGCUGGCCUUAAAANUAUUAGCUUUAGAUCCUUGUGUGGUUCCUGGUUCUACUCAAGCGUGAUAAUAGAUUUUUCUGAUCGCUGAGGACAUUCCUGGGAAUGGCCAGUUAUCAAUUUGGAUNGCUCAUAAUAUCUUGGUCCUGCAGGAUUGAUCGAUCGAGGUUGAUCUUGUUAGUCCAAAUAUCUGAAAUUUGACCUCGAAUCAGGUGGGAUUACCCGCUGAACUUAAGCAUAUCAAUAAGCGGAGGAAAAGAAACUAACAAGGAUUCCCUUAGUAACGGCGAGUGAAGCGGGAAAAGCUCAAAUUUAAAAUCUGGCAAUCUUUGGUUGUCCGAGUUGUAAUCUAGAGAAGCGUUUUCGGCGUUGGACUGUGUAUAAGUUUCCUGGAUACGGAACAUCAUAGAGGGUGAGAAUCCCGUCUUUGACACAGACUGCCAA